rnacentral:rRNA from 1 species
AUUGAACGCUGGCGGCAGGCCUAACACAUGCAAGUCGAACGAGUGGCGGACGGGUGAGUAAUGUCUGGGAAAAUGCCCGAUGGAGGGGUAUAACUACUGUAAACGGUAGCUAAUACCGCAUAACCUCGAAUGGGCUCAGAGGGGAUUAGCUAGUCGGUGGGGUAACGGCUAACCAAGGAGACAAUCCCUAGCUGGUCUGAGAGGCUGACAGGCCACACUAGAACUGAGCCAGGGUCAAGACUCCGACGGGAGGAAGCUGUGGGAAAUAUUGCACAAUGGGCGAAAGUCUGAUGCAGCCACGCCGCGUGUAUGAAGAAGGGCUUCGGGUUGUAAAGUACUUUCAGCGAGGAGGCGUUACUCGAAGAAGAAGAACCGGCUAACUCGGUGCCAGCAGCCGCGGUAAUAC